AACAUCAUUUUAUAUCGCUCACACUGGCCCUAUAUUCUAUAUUCAGCGGAGAAAGACCACGUUCGAGUUUCUCCAGGUUUUUGCGGGGCCGGUAAGAAGCGUAGACCAAAUUAUAGAGCGUUGCUGGGCGCCUGGUGUUGAUUUUCUUCGGAAAAUAGGAGACACUGGGAAUCAGCUGUUUCUACAUGA
rnacentral:snoRNA from 1 species